CUCUAGGCGGUGGAUCACUCGGCUCGUGCGUC
rnacentral:rRNA from 1 species